UCAUCGCUUCAAGAAAGGGGCUCCUCCCCUUGUAAUUAUACUGGGUUUUGCAUCCAGACUGAGCUUCCUUCCCUCACCCAUAUGAAGUGUCUACCUUCUGCAGACUCCAGUGGCUCAGGAACCGGGGAUGCAGUGCCAGGCUCGUGGUGUCCUGCAGCAGAUGUGGGGAGCUUUCCUUCUUUACAUUUCCAUGAAGAUGGGAGUCACUACAGGACAAAACAUUGACCAGCCCACUGAGAUGACAGCUAUGGAAGGAGUCAUUGUCCAGAUCAACUGCACGUACCAGACGUCUGGGUUCAAUGGGCUGUCCUGGUACCAGCAACAUGAUGGCGAAGCACCCACACUUCUCUCUUACAAUGUUCUGGAUGGUUUGGAGGAGAAAGGUCGUUUUUCUUCAUUCCUUAGUAACUCGAAAAGGUACAGUUACCUCCUUUUGAAGGAGCUCCAGAUGAAAGACUCUGCCAACAAGCUGAUCUUCGGCACAGGAACCAUUCUGAGAGUCAAGCCUUAUAUCCAGAACCCUGACCCUGCCGUGUACCAGCUGAGAGGCUCUAAAUCCAAUGACACCUCUGUCUGCCUAUUUACUGAUUUUGAUUCUGUAAUGAAUGUGUCACAAAGCAAGGAUUCUGACGUGCAUAUCACAGACAAAACUGUGCUAGACAUGAGGUCUAUGGACUUUAAGAGCAACGGUGCUGUGGCCUGGAGCAACAAAUCCAAUUUUGCAUGUACAAGCGCCUUCAAGGACAGCGUUAUUCCAGCAGACACCUUCUUCCCCGGCACAGAAAGUGUCUGUGAUGCCAACCUGGUUGAGAAAAGCUUUGAAACAGAUAUGAACCUAAACUUUCAAAACCUGUCAGUGAUUGGGUUCCGAAUCCUCCUCCUGAAAGUGGCCGGGUUUAAUCUGCUCAUGACGCUGCGGCUGUGGUCCAGCUGAGGUCUGCAGGAUUGUAAGACAGCCUGUGCUCCCUCGUUCCUUCCUCUGCAUCGCCCCUCCUCUCCCUCUCCAAGCAGAGGGAGCUCUCCCACCCCCAUGGAGGAGAAAGCUGCUACCACCUCUGUGCCCCCCGGCAACGCCACCAACUGGAUCCUACCCAAAUUUGUGAUGAAGAUUGCCGAAGAGCUGCCAAACACCGCUGCCACCCCCUCUGUUCCCUUAUGGCUGCUUGUCACUGACUGACAUUCACGGCAGAGGCAAGGCUGCUGCAGCCGCCCCUGGCUGUGCACAUUCCCUCCCGCUCCCCAGAGACUGCCUCCACCACCCCACAGAUGAUGGAUCCUCAGUGAGUUCUCUUGGGCUCUAGGUCCUGGAGAAUGUUGUGAGGGGUUUAUAUUUUUUAAAUAGGGUUCAUAAAGAAAUACAUACUAUUCUUCUUCUCAAGACAUGGGGGGAAAUUAUCUCAUUAUUGAGGCCCUGCUAUGCUGUGUAUCUGGGUGUGUUGUAUAUCCUGCUGCCAAUGGCUUCAUUAAAAUGGUUUGGAAGAGCAGA